rnacentral:rRNA from 1 species
GAUGAACGCUGGCGGCGUGCCUAAUACAUGCAAGUCGAGCGAACGGACGAGAAGCUUGCUUUUCUGAUGUUAGCGGCGGACGGGUGAGUAACACGUGGAUAACCUACCUAUAAGGCUGGGAUAACUUCGGGAAACCGGAGCUAAUACCGGAUAAUAUUUUGAACCGCAUGGUUCAAAAGUGAAAGACGGUCUUGCUGUCACUUAUAGAUGGAUCCGCGCUGCAUUAGCUAGUUGGUAAGGUAACGGCUUACCAAGGCAACGAUGCAUAGCCGACCUGAGAGGGUGAUCGGCCACACUGGAACUGAGACACGGUCCAGACUCCUAAGGGAGGCAGCAGUAGGGAAUCUUCCGCAAUGGGCGAAAGCCUGACGGAGCAACGCCGCGUGAGUGAUGAAGGUCUUCGGAUCGUAAAACUCUGUUAUUAGGGAAGAACAUAUGUGUAAGUAACUGUGCACAUCUUGACGGUACCUAAUCAGAAAGCCACGGCUAACUACGUG